GAAGUCUUAGUGGCGCAGCUAACGCACUAAGUUGACCGCCUGGGGAGUACGGCCGCAAGGUUAAAACUCAAAUGAAUUGACGGGGGCCCGCACAAGCGGUGGAGCAUGUGGUUUAAUUCGACGCAACGCGAAGAACCUUACCUGGCCUUGACAUCCAGAGAACUUUCCAGAGAUGGAUUGGUGCCUUCGGGAACUCUGAGACAGGUGCUGCAUGGCCGUCGUCAGCUCGUGUCGUGAGAUGUUGGGUUAAGUCCCGUAACGAGCGCAACCCCUAUCCCUGGUUGCUAGCAGGUAAUGCUGAGAACUCCAGGGAGACUGCCGGUGACAAACCGGAGGAAGGUGGGGAUGACGUCAGGUCAUCAUGGCCCUUACGGCCAGGGCUACACACGUGCUACAAUGGCGCGUACAGAGGGCUGCCAACUCGCGAGAGUGAGCCAAUCCCUUAAAACGCGUCGUAGUCCGGAUCGGAGUCUGCAACUCGACUCCGUGAAGUCGGAAUCGCUAGUAAUCGCGAAUCAGAAUGUCGCGGUGAAUACGUUCCCGGGCCUUGUACACACCGCCCGUCACACCAUGGGAGUGGAUUGCACCAGAAGUAGUUAGUCUAACCUUCGGGAGGACGAUUACCACGGUGUGGUUCAUGACUGGGGUGAAGUCGUAACAAGGUAGCCGU
rnacentral:rRNA from 1 species